AACGCUGGCGGCGUGCCUAAUACAUGCAAGUCGAACGGUCUUUCUAUGGAAGCUUGCUUCCACUGAGAAGAUAGUGGCGAACGGGUGAGUAACACGUGGGUAACCUGCCCAUAAGAGGGGGAUAACAUCCGGAAACGGGUGCUAAUACCGCAUAGUUUUCUUGAUCGCAUGAUUGAGAAAGGAAAGACGGCCUUUGUGCUGUCGCUUAUGGAUGGACCCGCGGCGUAUUAGUUAGUUGGUGAGGUAAUGGCUCACCAAGACGAUGAUACGUAGCCGACCUGAGAGGGUGAUCGGCCACAUUGGGACUGAGACACGGCCCAAACUCCUACGGGAGGCAGCAGUAGGGAAUCUUCCGCAAUGGACGAAAGUCUGACGGAGCAACGCCGCGUGAGUGAAGAAGGUUUUUCCGGAUCGUAAAACUCUGUUGUCAGAGAAGAACAAGUUGGAGAGUAACUGCUCCAGCCUUGACGGUAUCUGACCAGAAAGCCACGGCUAACUACGUGCCAGCAGCAGC
rnacentral:rRNA from 1 species